UUUUUUCUUAAAAAUGAUAAAUUAUUUACUAUUUUUAUAAAGACGGUAAAUGAUUCGCAGUCUUAUAAAAUUUUCACAAAAACGGUGAAUAAUUCAUCGUCUUUCUCUUCUACUGUUUAAGAUAACGAUGAAUAAUUCACUGCUUUGUAAAAAAUUAUGAAGAAAAUAAAUAAUUUACUAUCUUUUUUUAAGACGGUAAAUAAUUCAUCAUUUUUUUUUU
rnacentral:lncRNA from 1 species